GCACAAGCAGUGGAGUAUGUGGUUUAAUUCGACGCAACGCGAAGAACCUUACCAAGUCUUGACAUCCCUUGACAGACAUAGAAAUAUGUAAUCUCUUCGGAGCAAGGAGACAGGUGGUGCAUGGUUGUCGUCAGCUCGUGUCGUGAGAUGUUGGGUUAAGUCCCGCAACGAGCGCAACCCUUAUGGUCAGUUACUACGCAAGAGGACUCUGGCCAGACUGCCGUUGACAAAA
rnacentral:rRNA from 1 species